rnacentral:ribozyme from 1 species
GCUGAUCCUGGUGCAGGCCUUUUCGUUGGCCCUCGGGAUAAGUACCCGCUCAUAGGGCGGGGAAACCAGCGUGCAC